GGGGCAUUAAGAAUCACAGUUUCAUGUCGCCACUUCUCAAUUCGGAUAUGCUGCAUAUCGUUACCCUAGCAAUACUGAUCCAAACAUAAAAACGUGACCCUCAUUUCCACUUUCUCUCUCUACACUUUUCACAGUCAUCGGCGGCACCUCAACAGAGCAACAAUGGCGACACCGGCGACUACUUCUUUCGCCAUUUCCACCUCCUCUUCCUCGGCCGUUUCUUCCUCAAGCAAAUCAUUGAAGCCUGCUCUUUCCAGUAACUUAGGGUUCCUUUCUACUUCUUCUCUGUCGCUUAAGGCUCUCAGAGCUAAAUCUUACUCCUACAAUGUGUCUAGCUCCGGCGGACCACUUAGUGUUCGUAUGGUUGCUGCUCCUGCUGCUGUGAAGGCACCGAUGUCUCUCGAUUUUGAAACGUCUGUUUUUAAGAAGGAGAAAGUUACCCUUUCUGGACACGACGAGUACAUUGUGAAAGGAGGGAGAGAUUUGUUCAAGUUGUUGCCGGAUGCAUUCAAGGGAAUCAAG
rnacentral:misc_RNA from 1 species